GACGAACGCUGGCGGCGUGCUUAACACAUGCAUGUCGAGCGAGAUUUUGAAACUAGCUUGCUAGUUUCAAAUGAGAGCGGCGGAUGGGUGAGUAACGCGUGGGCAAUCUGCCCUGUGGAGAGGGAUAGCCUCGGGAAACCGGGAUUAAUACCUUAUGAUGUUAGAUUUUCACAUGAAGAUCUAAUCAAAGAUUUAUCGCCACAGGAUGAGCCCGCGUCCCAUUAGCUAGUUGGUGAGAUAACAGCUCACCAAGGCAACGAUGGGUAGCCGACCUGAGAGGGUGAACGGCCACACUGGGACUGAGACACGGCCCAGACUCCUACGGGAGGCAG
rnacentral:rRNA from 1 species